UCGAAACCUUUUUUACGUCCCUUUCACAUCAAUCUCAAACUCAGAACGUAUUAUCUUAUAACGUUAAUCUCACCUUGCUCGAAACAAGAAAAGCAGUAGCUUUCUCGCAAUGGCAGCAGGAAAUCUCUCAGUCGUCGCAGGUCGGAUCCUCGAAUUGCUGAAUUCGGAAGAGAAAGUAAAAGCCAUGGAAUCUCUCUCGGGCGCACACAAGGAGUUCAUGCAGAGACUGAAGGAUUCCAUUUCAGAAAUCGAGCCCGUUCUUCUUGAUGCGGAAAAGAAGAGUCAACGCGAUAACAACAUCAAAGAUUGGCUGAUGGAGCUCGAACACGUCCUCUACAAUGCCGAGAACUUGCUGUGCUUCUACACCCAGCAAUUUGCCAAACAGGUACGCAGUGAUUUCUUCGCAUCAUCUAAGCGCAAGAACAUGCUUCAGGAAUUAAAUGAAGUUAGGGAGGCACUAGGUAGAAUUGUAGAUCAGAGAAAACUUUUCGAUUUGGAAGUGGUGUGCGGUGAAGAAGUAGUCAUCGGAAAAGAUCAUAGGUCAGAGAACCAGUCAGACCGACCCAUAGAAGGCACUCUUAGGAACGAAGAUAUAACAAAAAUCAUUAGAAUUUUGUUAGGUGCGGAAGAUAGGGAGAAAAUUGGGGUUCUUCCCGUAGUUGGUAGGGCAGGAACGGGGAAAACCAGGGUUGCAGAAGUUGUGUACGAGGAUGAGGCCGUGAAAACUAAUUUUGAACCUCGAAUUUGGGUAUUCGUUUCUGAAAUCUUUGAUGUUGAACUAAUUCUGAGAAAAAUACUUGCAAAAUUAACUGGUAAAAACAUAGAGGAUCUUCCGAGUAACCAAAAGUCGCAAGACUCAAUGCUUGCACAGUUAUUAUCUGGAAAGAAGUACUUUAUGGUAUUAGAUGACGUGCAUAAGACAGAGUCUAGACAAUGGAGUUCUCUAAUGGAGUCUUUAGAAGUUGGUGCAUUAGGGAGUAAAAUACUUGUGACUACUCCAUCUAACAGGGUCGCAGACUUGGUUAAAGGCAGCCUCAAACCUUAUCUGUUAAAAGAUCUAAGCUUAGACAACUACUUGUUUUUAUUUGGAAAAUUUGCAUUUGGAGAUUGUAAGAAGAAGAUUGAAGAUCGGCCUCACCAGAUACGCCUUGGGAUGGAGAUCGUAAGGAGGUGUGCUGGUCGUUCUCUUGUCAUUAAGGCAAUGGCAGCCAUGUUACAUUCAAGAAGUGUAGAGCAGUGGCGGCUCUUUUACAAGAAUGAAUUUUCCAAAAUAGGGGAAUAUACAAAUGAUCAUAAUGAGAUGCUGAGUUUACUGAAGCUGUGUUACGAUCAUCUCCCUUCACCUCUCAAACAUUGUUUUGCUUUUUGUAGCUUGUUUCCAAAAGGUCAAGUGAUGGUUGUCCAGACGCUGAUAAAGUUGUGGAUGGCUCAAGGUUUCAUCAUUGAAAAAUCUGAUAAAUCUGCUGAGGAUGUUGGUUAUGAGUAUGUUCAGAUUUUAGUCGGGGGAUACUUCUUUGAAGUAGUUGAAAGGGACGCUGCACAGCAAGUGACAAAAUGCAAAUUGCAUAGAUUCAUGUAUGAUCUCGCAGUGUUGGUAACGGGCGGCCAAUGCUUGUUAUUAUCAUCAGCAGAUAGUUAUGAUACCAGUAGAAGAACUUUGCAUGUGUGCUUUGAUUUUGACUUAUCUUCUACUGAAUUCAUUGCAGCUCUUGAUGUAAAAAAGACAAGAACGAUUGUUUUGUCAGGUCAAUCAAGACAGAGACAAGGAGGGAGAUAUGGAGGGAUUCACGUUAACAUAAUUUUUGAUAAAAUAUGUUCCAAAUUCACAUUUUUACUAGCACUGGACAUGCAUGAUUCAGGGAUUGAGAUCGUGCCAGAUUCUAUUAGCAAGUUGAAGCUUUUGAAAUAUCUUGAUCUUUCUGAAAAUGAGGGCAUCACAGAGCUUCCUAAUUCUAUCACUCGACUUUUGAAUUUGCAAACAUUGAGACUCUCCUCUUGUUUCAAGCUUAAGAAGUUGCCUGAAGAUUUUAGUAAUCUGACUAAUUUAAGACAUCUUGAGAUUGAUGGGUGUAAUAAUUUGACUAAUCUUCCGAGAGGAAUCGAUCAAGUACAUGAUCUCGAGGCUUUAUCACAACUUGUAGUAAGGGAAGACUCCUCCAAGUCCGAUGGUGUGUUGAAAAAAUUGCAAGAACUGAGCAAGCUGCCGAUCAGAAAUUUGAGACUUGUUUUAAGACAUGAAAAAUAUGUCACUGGUUAUUUGAAGGAAGUAUCAAGAGGAAUUCGAUCCUUGUCAUUAGAAACUGAAGGUUAUAACGUGGAAUCUGAAUUCAAACAAACAUGUCUAAACAGAUACCUCAGUUCUGAUCUUGAAGAAUUGUCUAUAAAUGGAUUCAGGGGUGUCUCGCUAUUUUGUCCUUACUCGUAUUUUCCUGGUAAGCUGGUGAAACUUUCAUUGAGAAGAUGUGCAAAUUGCAAAAAUUUACCAGCAGUUCAGUUAUCUAGUCUCAAGGUAUUGGUGCUAGAUGAUAUUCCCAAUCUAGAAUACAUUGCAGAUUCUUAUUCAUCUUCUUCAACAACAUGCUUUUCAACCCUGGAAGAACUCUGGCUCACGGAACUACCAAAGUUUAAGGGAUGGUGGAACAAUGAAGUCAACGGGUUGCCUUCAUUCCGUGGUCUCUCUAAACUAGUUAUUGAGGAUUGCCCCAACUUGGCCUUCAUGCCGCGAUUCCCAAAUCUGGAGAAAGGCCUAGUUCUGGAUAGAAUUAGCUGGAAGCUGUUUGAGCAGACCAUGAACCAGAAUGUAGCAGAUCCAUCAUCAUCAACUUCCCUGCCUCCUCUCUCCAAUUUAAAGAUUCUGUGUAUUGUAGGCAUUAAAGACUGCAUAGCUGAUCAAAUUAGGUGGAAAACUCUAAAAAAACUACAAUUCUUGAAAUUCGAUUGUCUUCCAACACUGAAGAUUCUUCCAGAUGAUCUUAGAGAACUGACCGGCUUGCAAGAACUCCAUAUUUGGCGCUGUGUUAUCAAGAAACUACCAGACUGGAUCAAUAAACUCCAAAGUCUUGAGAAACUUGUGAUUCACGUGUGUCCCUUUUUGGAAGAAUUACCUGAAGAAAUCAGUAGCCUUCCUGUUUUGAAGACACUGGAGAUUGAGGAAUGUAACACACUAUUGAGAAGAUGCGAAGAUAGAAUAGGUGCAGAUUGGUCCAAGAUUGCUAAAAUUCCCAAAAAGAAAUUGGGUCUGAUUUCCGGGAGAUGAUGUAGAGUCAUUCCUUUUUUCAGAGCAAGGCACAAUGAUAGAGACAUCUUUACAGAAAAUAUGUAGCAAGUGAAAAUCUAAUGCUUCUUGGAAAUGUGAACAACUCUAGAGUAAAGAGAAGCAGAAAGGAAACUGGAUAGAAUUGGAUGAUAGUACUAGUGAAUGCUAAGAUUUGUUUAGAGAACUUAAGACCUCCACAACUGAUAGUUCCAGUAGAGGAACAUUUUACGGGACGUAUCACUUGGCGCGACAGUUGGUACUUUCCAAAGAUUAAAGCAAAAUUUAUACAGUGUGGUUUAUUGGAUAGGGUGAAGGAAUCCCCUUUCAAACAGUUCUUCAUGGCGGAACCAUUAAAUUUUUCUGGUGCCUUAGUCCAUCAAUUGUUGUUGCACAAAUUCAGAGGGGAGAAGACUGACGAAGUCCAGUUUUAUAUUGGGAAAAAAAGAUGUAGAUUUAGCCAAUUGGAGUUCGCUUUAGUUACUGGUUUAAAUUUUGAGGCCGGACCGUCUGAAGCUGAGAUUAAAGCGAAGACCACUUCGGAUCGGUUAAUUCUUGAGUACUUCAAUGGUCAUUCCCAAGUGAGCAUAGGGCAACUGCGCAGAACUUUUGAGAGUUGUCAAAUAGUUGAUGAUGUGUACAAGAUGAGUUUGUGCUUAUUAGUUGAGGGUGUUUUGAAAGGUCGUGAGGAGAAGUUGAUGGUUUGGACUGACAUGCUGAAGAUGGUAGACGACGUUGACUUCUUUUUCCAGUACCCGUGGGGGAAGAUAUCAUACCAGAAGUUGUUACAAACUUGUCAAAAAGACUUUGUUGAAAUGAAGAAGCAUUUACAGAAGAAGAUUGAGAAAGGAAAGACUCAAAAGGAGGCCAAGUACUCUAUUUAUGGGUAUGCUGCAGCAUUGCAGUAUUGGGCUUUUGAGUCCAUCAUUGAGUUGGGUCAGGAUCAUGCUGUGAGAUUGGGCCAAGGCAUACCAAGAAUGAUCAACUGGCAGAGCAAGGAGAAAGUAGAGAUACACAAAGAGCAACUUAUUAAGUUGUUUGCCAAAAAGGUGAGCUUUUACUUUACUUUUGAAUGUUCUAUAUUUUUUUCUAGAUAUGCAAUUUUAUGGGUACUGCACGAUAGGAAUACGAUAGAGUACGAUUUGAGUACGAUUAUGGGGUUAUAUUGUGGUUUUUUGUCAACUGUUUGAAAACUGACUAAGUGGUACGAUUUGGUACGAUGAUGGUCCGAUGGGGAUACGAUAUGUAUUCUUUGUUAAUGUAGUAGUAGUGGUACGAUAUUGGUACGAUGUUGUACGAUGAUGGUACGAUAGUUAGCAAGCAAUUCUCACUUACGGGUACGAUAUUGUUAUGUUAUGGGUACGAUAUGGGUACGAUAAUUGCAUGAUAUGGGUACG